GAUUCCCUUAGUAACGGCGAGCGAAAAGGGAAAUGUCCAGCGCCAAGUCUUGACAUUUAGGUGUUCAAGAGAUGCGGCGUUAAUGUAUUGGUGCAUCGUGCAUUGUUCCAUGUUUCAAGUUCCUUUGACAGGGACAUCCAGAGCGGGUGCUAGGCCCAUAGAGACGAGGAACCAGUGUACGCCGGCCAAUGCAUUCUAGAGUCAGGUUGCUUGAGAGUGCAGCUUAAAGUGGGUGGUAAACUCCAUCUAAGACUAAAUACUACAGCGAGACCGAUAGCAAACAAGUACCGUGAGGGAAAGUUGCAAAGCACUUUGAAGAGAGAGUCAAACAGUACGUGAAACCACUGGGAGGCAAACAGAUGGAACCACGAAGUGAGCGCCUCGGUCGAUUCAAUCAUCUCCAUCGAUUGUUGGCAUUGGUGAAGGGUUUCUUCGGAAGCUGCACCAAGGUUGUCUAAUCGAUGGAGCUGGUGCAUUUCGAGCCGAGGAUGCAAAGCCACGUUCAAUCAGAUAGUUGGGAUGGCUGUAGGACAGRAUCGGAGAAAGGUGCCCGGCAAGUGCUUGCAUUUGUCGGCGUUAUAGACUCUGAUUGGCACCGUCGCCAAACAAACUGAUUGAUGGAAAUUCUCCUUCGGGAGUGAAACCAUGUCUGCCUAUGAUCGCAAGCAAAGACAUAAGAGUGUUCUUUACGUAUCUUUGGGUGCGAAAAGGCACUUUGACCGUUUUUGUUGGCGGUUGUUUGCGUGACAUGGUGGAACUGUGGCGCGAGUAGGUCGGUCUCCAUCUGACCCGUCUUGAAACACGGACCAAGGAGCCUAUCAUAUACGCAAGUCGCUCGGUCUUGUUUAGGCCCGGGAGGCGAAAUGAAAGUAAAGCUAUGAGACUUCGGUCGCAAUAGCGGCCCGCCUACUUCGUUUAUUGGCGAUCAGGCGGAGCUGGAGCGUAUACGAUGGUACCCGAAAGAUGGUGAACUAUGCCUGGGCAAGACGAAGCCAGAGGAAACUCUGGUGGAGGUCUGUAGCGAUUCUGACGUGCAAAUCGAUCGUCAGACCUGGGUAUAGGGGCGAAAGACUAAUCGAACCAUCUAGUAGCUGGUUCCCUCCGAAGUUUCCCUCAGGAUAGCAGGCGUUUAUUUAGAAUCAGUCUCAUCCGGUAAAGCUAAUGAUUAGAGGUCUUGGGGCUGAAACGGCCUCAACCUAUUCUCAAACUUUAAAUGGGUGAGAUGGUUGACUUUCUUGAUUGAAGCCAACCAUUUGGAUGUAAGUGCCUAGUGGGCCAUUUUUGGUAAGCAGAACUGGCGCUGUGGGAUGAACCAAACGUCGAGAUAAGGUAUCAAAUGCGCACGCUCAUCAGACCCCAUGAAAGGUGUUGGUUGCUAUAGACAGCAGGACGGUGGCCAUGGAAGUCGGAAUCC
rnacentral:rRNA from 1 species